rnacentral:misc_RNA from 1 species
UCCAUGCGCUGCCGCUGCUUAUUUUCGAACCACUGCGGAAGGUGACACUGUGCAAGUUCAGUGUUGAUCAAGUGCAUACAUUGGGCCAUCAGAAAGAGACUGGACAUGUGAUGGUGGAAACGAGCACCCAAACUGCCAUGGCCUUCCAACGGACCAUCCCUGUGCAGACUAGACCAACGAAAUUAAGGAGCCAAGGUACAUGCACGGGCCCUGAAUGAUGAGCUGAAGGAGAAAUAAUCAUCCAUUUUAUGCUGAAGAGAAUACAUUGAAGAGGCUCGACCGGAGGGAAGCAAGCCACCAUCAAGCUAGCACCUGUUGUGGUACACUAAGGAACACCUUGCCUAGAGUCGACCACGUGGAACCAGCUGUUUGCUGGCAAUGCCAAACGCUGCCAUCAUGAAGAUAGCGCACGAAGAGUGCAUGCGAGAAACCUUAAGCAGUACAUUAUUGCCAAAAGUGUUCAAGGAGUAUUGUAAUGAUAUUUGCGACUUGUCACUUUCUUGUUUGUUGAAUGGAAGUGCAAACCCUCUGAAUCCCAGAAAAAUAUCCUCGAGUAUCAUAGCACCGUAAAUAAUUUAUACUACAAUGCUUUUUUUGUAGUACCAGGAGGUGCACCCUCCACGACAUCACAAUGCACUAGGUUGCUCCAUUCUCGUGUCCACUGCAGCUAUAGCCAAACGUGUGCAGCAUUCUGAACCCUGUAUAAUGCCCAUUGUAUCAUGUAUGGUAUGCCGUUCUGAUACCUUUAAAUUCUGAUUUUAGCAUGAAAGCUACACACAUAGCCUGCAGCAGAGCUCUUUAUAAACCGUAGUGUGUUUAGUUGUGGAUACU